UUCAGUAUAUGCAGAUUAAUAACUGGAUGUGAAAAAUGGAUCUCAAGUGUUGAGCGAAAAAUCUGCAGGGGAUUUGGAAGCCUGUUCUGCAUUAGCGAGGCAGGUGCUGAAUGCUUCCUGAGUUACUCUGAAGAGCCUUCUGCUUUCCACCAGAUCCCCUCAGAGGCUUCUCACCUUCCUUCACCUGCCACACCGGGCUGUGCUGCUUUGGGCUGUUCAGCUGAAUGCACGCACAGAAGCAAUUAAAUCUUUCCAGACUCAAAGAGGAGGAACAUCAGGAGAGAUGAACAAACAGAAAAGAUGUGUGGAUUCCACCAGGAGCCUCUGAGCCCAUUCCAGUUUCUUGCCUGCUCAAGAAAAAGGAUGAAGAAUGGCCAGGACCUGAAUUUCUGAAUGAUGUCAGAAGCAGGAGCUGAUGCCACCUCUUCCUGUCACAAUGAGAAGCUCAGUAAAUCCCACUCCAGACAUUUCUUAGUCAGCUUGGACCUGGUCAGGUGCCCACCUGCAUUGUUCCAGAUGUAACCAUGGAAAAUCCACAGGGAAGGCAACCCUAGGGAAGAAGGUCUUGCUGGUUUGAUGGCUAAAAUCGAAUUAAAAAUCAAAGCAAGGUGAAUUUGUGGACUUUCCUCCUGGGAGAUUCUAUCAGGCCAAGCUGUGGAGUUGGAUGUCUGAAACAGAUCAAGACGAUUUUCUCAACACCAGUACACAAGAUGUCACAUUUAGCAGGGAAUUGUCCAAUGCUUGAAUACUGGAAUCAUAGGAGCACUGUUUGAUGUUAAGUGGUAUCCGCAUCAUAUCUGGAGCUGGAACAUGCCGGGAAAAUAUCCCUCACAUUCCGCACCAAUAUUUCCAAGCUUUCAGGACCAAUCACAGGUUGGAAUCAUGAAGCCUGGAUUACUCAAACAAAUUUUGGGGCAGUCUUCUGACUUUCAAAUGCUUCCUGGAAAGGCUUUGUGAAAAAUGAGCAGCCAAGCAGCAGAGGACCCUGGUCUGAUUCAAUUCAGAAGGUGGAGCAGCUCAGGACGUGAGUCAGAGCUGAGGAGAGGAGGAGGCGGAUGCCUGAUGGACUUUGACUGGAUUUGCUGUGGAAGCAGGGAGAGCCUACUAAAAGAGACCUGAAAAGAGAACGUGAGAUCUCAUGGUUCAAGCAUCUGAAUCCUGCAAAACUUUCAUCCAGCCUCAGAGAAGUCAAUUUGAACUAAAUUCUUCCCAACUGUCUAUUAAUUUUAUUUUUCUUUCCAUGUUUCUAUUUGCAGAGUACACUGCCAGUGCUAUUUCUCCUGAUAUAUGAUGAUGUACAACGUUAAACAUUCUGAGAAAUCAAUUCCCAGACAUCUCAGCUUGGGGACCCAACUCUGGCAGAAUGUUUUGACCUGAAUCUCUUUGUGUUUCAGUUUCCCAUCUGUUAAACAAGAAUAAUAAUAUCCUCUUGUCUUACAGGGUGUUGUUAGGAGAAGCGAGGGUUGUGAAGCACUCAUAUGCCAUACUGAUAAGAGCCCUAGAAAAACUCACAAGAAAAUUAGCAAUUGUGUCUUCCGAGCAGGUUUGGAGUAGUAUGUGGUAAACGAGGCCUCAAGCCACACUCUGAAUAAUGACACUGCGACAAAAUAUUUAAUAUCCGCUUAUUUAGUGAACACAGUCCACCCUGAGGUAGAACCUGGUGGAAAACAAGGCAUAAGCCUAUAUUUAAAGAAUGACUCAUAAUGCAGAUGAAUAAGGGUUUAUGGUUAACCUUAGUUCUGAUGUUUUGAUCACUUGGUUUUGCAGAUAGAAGGGGUGCAUGUGCAAAAGGAUGCCUGUGCCUAGAAAGAAAAAAAAUAUGAGUUCAAAAUAUCCUUGUUGUUCAAUGAAAUGUGCAGGAUCUUCAUUCUUACCUCUGCAAAGGAAAUGCUUCUUGGUGCCUGGUGGGUUUUGGAAAGACACUGCAGCUCUCCUGUUUAGGAAACAGUUUUCAAGCAAAUGUUGAAGUGUAGCUCAUUAGCACUCCUUUGCUUUUAAAUGAAGAGAAAAGCUUUACAGCUGGGAGAGCUGGUAGUGGAAACAGUUUUGAGGUUAGUGCUUGGAUUCUUACACACACCUGGAUGGGCUCCUGCAAGAUUUGCAUGGGGAACUACAGCACAUUCUGUUAUUCACAAUUCUUCCUAUGGCUUGUGGAAGAGGGAACUUCUAAGUUCUGUAGCAAUCAAGUGCAGAGCUUUCAUGGAGCUAGACAAAGUACUCAUUAAAGAUAGAAGAAUAUUUUGGCAAAAGAACAGAAGGGCAUUAAGUGGCUAUGAAUAAAUUCUGUCUGGAAAUCAAAUGAAGGGGGUUUUAACCAUCCCAGCAACAGGAUUCUUGAGUUUCUUCCCAUUGGGAAGAAACAAGAAGUUUCCUUUUUUCCUCACAAGAUGUCUGGUGAAAAUAUAGAAGGGGUUUGCAGAUCUGAAGAUCUGUGUGAGGGCAAAUAGGGCUUAAAAGCCUAAGAAAUCUGUUUCUGGUCUCAUAUCUGGUAUUUUUUGCUGCUAAAAGCAGUUCUCAUAAGGUUUAUGUUUAAUUUCUCCACACAGGAGAAACUGACUCCUGGAGAGAUGGAAGAAUGAAUCCAAUCUCCUCAGCUUCAUGAAUGAGGACUCACAAGCAGAGCAAGAAGUCAGAAAGAUUCCUGUACUGCCUCUCCCAAAAUAAAACGCCGAAGGAGCAUGGAUGGAGGAAAUCCGUUCAAACUGAGUAAACAGCUCACGAAGGAGGAGUCAAAGGUUAUGGACCAGAGGAGAAGGAGCUCAUCGGCAGCAGGUUCUCCUCAAGCUGAGAGGAAACUUCUUCCCUUCAGUAGUUCUCAGUUGGAUAGCUGGACAGAACGCUUUCCCUGCCCUGGAAAUGGACCCAAAGGAAUCAGAAACAAAGGACGCUGAUGCUGCUUUUCAUUUCUGCCCAAGGAGAAUAAAUGUUUGUGCAAACCUUUUUUCAUGUGGCUGCCCAGAAAUGACCCACGUGAAGCCAAGGAGCUGAACAUUAAGCAACCUCCCCCUGGUGAUGCUGCUGCAAUGAGAGAAUGUGUCCUCUGACACUGUGUCACGUAGCCCACUUGUACAUUUUCUUGCCGGAUGCUUUGCCACUCUAUCACGCGGAACUCACAGAAGAAUAAAAACUAGGACUGUGCCACAGAGCAGAAAAGCUGCAGCAAUGACUGACCUAAAGGGCUGGUCCACAUCACACCAAAUACCCCUUUCUUGCCACCAGAUUUCACGGCAGAGAGGGCGUGUCCCCCUCUCAGCCUGGCACCUUCCCAUAACUGCGAUAACUCACUAAUGAUUCAGAAACAACGAUCUCAAAUCCAAAAUUCCAGAUAUUCCUCUCCAACCUGGCAACAGCUCUGAGGUUCAUUCACAAACCAUGCAGAGGACAGAAAAGAGGAAGCUCUGUUUGAAGAUGCUCAAAGCCUCAAAUUUUGGUGAAAGGUCAAUGGAGAAGUGCUUUCCUACAGGAAGCAUGAGGAAGACCAGCUUAAACAAGACCUUUGUAUUUUAGGAAAUAGGAUGAGCAGAGAGAGAUCCUGAAAUCUGCUGGUCUGCAGAGUGAUGUAGAUACACAGGCCAAGGUUCAGGGCACCUCAGAUUGGGCAGUUUUCUGAGGUUUUAGAGCUGAUCUCUCUUUCUAAUUACGUUUGAAAUGGGCACCUUCAGGGAAGUUGUGUGUCCCACAGAAGCUCUGAUCCGAUUUGGGAGGAGCCUUUCUUCCUACUUUGUAGAAAAACCCUGAAAUAGCAGCUUAUUGAUUACCUACAUUUGAUUGAUGUGGAUCAGAUGGAGGCAACGCGUUCAGUUGCAAAACAAAAAGCGCACAACUGCAUCUCCAAACCUUCAGCGCGUACAAGUGGCCUCCUCCUCCUCCUGACCUCUCAUUUCUCAGCUUUAGAUUAAAUUCCAGAUUUCAGCUUCUCAACCUCAGACUCCUGGAAGGACACGAAGCCCCUGAGCUUUUGAAAGACCUGAGCCACUUGACCACUCUUCUUCAUUUUAAUGCUUGUUUAUCUUUCCUACUUUUUCAUGCUCUGGACUAUUAACAAGUCAAAGAAAUGCUUCUCAGGCCACACAAACUCUGUUCAUAUCUGCUGAGCUCUCCUGAUGCACAGGCAGCGAUCAGCACACCAGCCCUGGCCUAAUAGAAGUAGAGAAGGGGAUGAUCAGAGAGUAUCCACACAAGGAGGAGUGACUGCUGGCUGGCACACUGCUCGUCCACCUAACAAGUGGCCGUGAGUGACACAGAAAACCGAAGGUCAACAGCUGUUUCUCUUGCAAGAAAAGUGAACCAAGAACCUCAGAGCUGCGGAGACUGGCCAGCCACAGCUCUCACACUGCUCUCCUAAUUGUCAACUGCCCAUGGCCGAUUCCUGGAAAUAACCAGGGAGAGAGAGCUCUGUGCCUAACAUCAACACACUUGUGGUUUCACUGGAAAGCCAACACGACAGCUCAAAGCCAGUCAUUCCAGCGGCAUCGCUCCUUCGCCUGACACUGUCUCUCUGCUGCUCCCUCAGAGAAUAUUUUCUGCUACAGACGUUUAUCCCGCUUUGGAUUUCACUCCCCCUGCCGCUAUUCUGGUUUUGUCUAGAAAGGCAAACUUUGUCUGGCUCUCAGCAGCCUGAAGUGUAUUUUUUCCUGUGCUGUAUUCAGACAGGAUUCAGGAUGGGCUGAGGCUCAGGGAGGAGUUGCACAGAGGGGCUCCCUGACAUGGGUGCUCACCCUGCGCUGUCAGGGAGUCCCUCCACCUCGCUGUGACUCCCUCCUUGCCACAGGGGACAGACAUGCAGGGGAGGAGCUGCAGAGUUUUUAGUUCUCCAUGGUAUUUUGGAAAGCAAAAACUAUUUGAGAUAUGGGAGAUGUUGCCUUCGGCUCUUAACUGUGCUUUCCUUGGUUAUCCUAAAUGCAUGGGUACUUUGUGAAGCCUGAUCCUGUGCACACAGGGGGAAGCUGAGGAUCUGAGCCUGUUUAUUCCAGAACAGCAGCUCCUGCUAAGCUGAGCGGGGUUUUGGGCAGCAGAGAUGUGAAUCCCAUUUCUGGGAUAGGUGAGCCGUUGAAACAUGCAGGAUUUUCUGCUGCCUUUGGCAUUUGGAGUUAAUGGGUGUGAAACUUCUUUUCACUUCUGCUUUUCGUGUGCAUGCAUGGUGCGAUACACUUAUGGUGUGGAGUUUUGCAAUCAGGAGAUUUCCCCUUCUAGUUUGGGUUUGCUUUUCUGAUUUUUACAAGGGAUGAGCAGGCUAUCACUUCAGGGCAAAGCAGACAUGUAGUGUACCAGGGCAGGGAAAUCCAAGAAAAAUAGUAUCUGAAUACUAUUUGUGUUGCAAGCACAUGUAGGCGUUUAUUAUUUCUGAGAGCUCUCUCGUCAGUCAGACAUUGAACAAUCGUGACAUCUGUUGUAGGUUACUGUCCCCCAGAGUAGUUUCACAGAGUUUGGAGUUUGCUUUUUCAAAUCCACCACAAAUAAAGCCCAGAAUUAUCUCCCUGUCCCCACAAAGGCAAGUGGGAACCUCCUGGGGAAAUGCUGCAGACUGCAAGGAGGUGGGGAGGUUUAGCAGAGGAGGCUGCUUGGGUCCUCUCGGCCUUACCAUGGGUUGGGCAAUGAACCCCACAGCUCACACCAGCAGAGAGACCCCCCCUGAGGUCCACAGGAGAUGAGACAAUGGUAAUUUUUUAAAAACAAAAACAAAGACCUAGUGCAAAAGCUGACCUGCAGCUCCAAGCUUUCUGAGCCAUCAUCCUGCACUGCGUCGGGGAUCCCUGUGUUGGUGUUCACAGGUUUGCACGUUGUCGGUGCCAGAGCCAAGUCAGCUUUCCCUUUCAGCCCAUCUGCCUGUAUCGGAGAAGAAAUACUGUCUGUUUGUUUAGGUGAGAUAUUGGUCUGCCCCCGGAGCUCCAGGUCACUGUAAAUGUAACACAAGCCCUAUUUCCUGUUAGGAAAGGGGAAAAAAUAUGCCUGUGAAUUGUCUCUGAUGUGCUGCCAGCUGUCAGGGAAGAUUCAAUUUGGUGGAGAACUACUGUGCUCUUAAAGAGCUGCACCAGUGACGGAGAUUUAGAGCAGCUACUCCUUCCAGAAAUGGGAGAUUUGUCUGAUUUCCACAAAACCAGGAUUGUGACUGGUAGCCAGUUGCCCACUCCACAGGCAUGAAUGGCUUGGAGGGGAGGCUGAAGCAGUGGCUCAGGCCAAUGGGACCAGAUUGGGACAAGAAGGGGACACCUGUGCAUGGCUGAAGGAGAGCUGGACAGAGAUUUGGGGUGAGGCUGGCAGGUGCUUUCAGUCAGUGCUUCUCUAUGGUAAAGGAAAAAUGGUGCUUUCUUGCCACGCAGCCAAAAAGUUAGACCAAAAGUGACAAGAAUUUGCUCUCUGUGUGUCACACAUGUGUUCGCUGCUAAUCCAAUAAAGAAAAUAUGUGACCUGUGGAAUGAACCAAAGCUGCUACAAUAAAUAAUGCUAUAGAUCACUCAUGCAUUUCACUUUCUUUUGCAUUUCUUGUACCAAGGCAAAUUUCUGCUGUUGUCUAAGCAGCCAUGUAUAGACAGGUAAACUGUAGCCACCCAUUUGGCCUCCCUUACAGUAGAAACCACACUUGCCCUCCCAAAAUUGGCAAAAAACCCCGGGUUUCCCUCUUUUUUCAUUAUGCUUAUUGCAAGGGGUAGUAUUUCAAUUUAGGCCUGGAUAAAGGUACAGUGUUCUUAGGUAAAGCUGAUGUUUUCACAUCAUGUUGCUUGGCCUGCUCUAUAAGCCUUGUCUCCAAAAACAUUCACCCUCCAAAGUUUCCUGUGGCAAAGAAAUAAAAAAGCAUGUGGAGAAAUAAAAAAGCAUGUGGACUAUCUCCUGUGAAAUGGCCCAGAUGUUAACUGGAUAUCAGAGGUGUUUUGCAACCUGGCAUUCUCCAGGUGUCCAUGUCCCAGUUUGUUCUCUUCCACAAAAGAGAACAUCUAAAUCAUGUUAGCCUUAGUGGCAGAAUAAUUGUUAACUAAAAGCCGUAUAAUCCAUAAAAAUAACCCUAAAGAGAUUCAAUUUUUAUUCCGCUUACUACUGCAGCAAACAAUAGCUUGGUUGGCAGGAGACCAGGAGAAAUGCAGAAAAGCAAUUUUAAGGGAUAUAAAGGCAUACUUUUUUACCAUUUGGUUCCCUUUCCUAGUUUUAUGGAGCUAGUAGGGCAACUGGAUGGGAGUGAGCUGGUGGCCAACUGUCUGUCUCCCCAGUGCUUGCAGGUAACAGCUCACUGUGGCCUCUAUCUCCCAAUCUCUGGGCACUCUCCCUGGUGCUGUCUGAGUAUCUCUGAAUCAGCCAGGGCACGCCCAGCAUCAGCAAAAUUAUCCUCCCUGCGGUCCUUGGAAAUGGGGUAACACCUGUGCUACAGUCCAGGCUUCCAGGCAAUCCGUGGAGAUAGAACAUGUUCUCUCCAGCCGUUUUUAAAACCCAUCAAGGUUUUUCCUGGAGCGCUGGAGCCCGGCAGGGUGGGUGAGCCCGUUGGCUGCUGGGCUGCAGUGCAGUUGUACGUACUCCCAGGGCUGCUCCGUGGGGAUAUUCCCAGCCCUUCCUCUUGCUCCAGUGGUUCCUUCUUCUAUGGAAAAUGCACAAGCUUGUCCUGGUAUAAACACAGAUUUUUGUUCUGCUUCUUUUACUGUGCCUCUGUGUUUUGGAGUUAUGCUGUUGGAGCAAGAAUUUAAAAAUGCAAUGCCUUGUUCCAUGAAAAGCUGCUUAGCAGAGGCAUGGGAUCAAAAGCCAGUGCUGCAGCCCAAAGCAAAGCCUGUGUGUUCUCCAUCAGCCUCUGCAAUCCCUGCAUGGGACCAGUCUCUCUCCCUGACCCUUUCUCAAACACUUGCUGAACCCAUCCUUGGCUCCUGAUUGAUAUGAUUUGUUGCUGACUUCUCUCCUGUUCCUUCAGCCUUUCUCUGGCUGCCUCCUCCCUCCAUUAGGCUCCUCCUGGUUUCCUGCUUUGCACCUCUGCAGCUGUAAACACAUGUAACAAAUAAUAAUCAUAUACACAUUUUAUAUUUGUAUACUGACAUUUUGGGAAAUGAGUGAUUUGUAGUUUUGCACUACAUGAAGGUAGGAGGGUAUUAACAAGAAAAAAUUUAGGAAACCCCCCUCUUUCCAUCUCCCUUGCCCGUAUUCUGAAAUUUCCUUUAGAGACUGCUUCUUCUUUC